rnacentral:rRNA from 1 species
UGGGGAAUAUUGCACAAUGGGCGCAAGCCUGAUGCAGCCAUGCCGCGUGUAUGAAGAAGGCCUUCGGGUUGUAAAGUACUUUCAGUCGGGAGGAAGGUGGUAAGGUUAAUAACCUUAUCAAUUGACGUUACCGACAGAAGAAGCACCGUCUAACUCCGUGCCAGCAGCCGCGGUAAUACGGAGGGUGCAAGCGUUAAUCGGAAUUACUGGGCGUAAAGCGCACGCAGGCGGUUGAUUGAGUCAGAUGUGAAAUCCCCGGGCUUAACCCGGGAAUUGCAUCUGAUACUGGUCAGCUAGAGUCUUGUAGAGGGGGGUAGAAUUCCAUGUGUAGCGGUGAAAUGCGUAGAGAUCUGGAGGAAUACCGGUGGCGAAGGCGGCCCCCUGGACAAAGACUGACGCUCAGGUGCGAAAGCGUGGGGAGCAAACAGG